GGUUGCAACAACAAGAACAACAACAAUAGAGAAGCAAAUGAGAGCAGUGAAGCAGAUAAUCCGGGAGAUGCAGAGUACUAACAACUAACAAAACAACAAAAGGAUGGACAAAAACCAACUGUCUUUCUACAGUACGUACUAAUGAGGUGCAACUUGACCAGGGUUACGUUCUCCUAGUAUUCAAGGACUACCUUCCUAGACCUCCUGCAGAACUAAAACGUUCGCAAUAGACUGGACUAAUCUCCCAAGGAUCAACGUUUCUUGACGACCGGUGGUGAAUGUACAGGUUUUCUGUCCGUCCGUAUUAGUUUGUUCGGGUAUUUCAGGCCUGAGCUCAAUCCUAUCCUUACGCGCACGCCUGGUUCAAUUUUAACCAGCGGACUGGCUUCGAGCAACUAACGAAAGGGUGCACACGACAACUCUAUACGUGGGACCUCGCUCAUUUGAAAUUUC